rnacentral:rRNA from 1 species
GUGCGCCUUAUGCAUGCAAGUCGAGCGAAGCUUUUCCGUAGUUUACUACAGAAAAUGACUGAGCGGCGAACGGGUGAGUAACGCGUGAGCAAUCUACCUUAGUUACAGGGAUAGCCCGAGGAAACUCGGAUUAAUACCUGAUAUUCUUUAUAUUUCGCAUGAAAUUAAAAGGAAAGGUCAGCCGAACUAAGAUGAGCUCGCGUUCUAUCAGCUAGUUGGUGAGGUAAAAGCUCACCAAGGCUACGACGGAUAGCUGGUCUGAGAGGACGAUCAGCCACACUGGGACUGAGACACGGCCCAGACUCCUACGGGAGGCUGCAGCAGGGAAUAUUGCGCAAUGAGCGAAAGCUUGACGCAGCGACACCGCGUGUGGGAUGACGGAUCUAGGUUUGUAAACCACUUUC